AGCGAACGCUGGCGGCAGGCCUAACACAUGCAAGUCGAACGAACCCUUCGGGGUUAGUGGCGGACGGGUGAGUAACACGUGGGAGCGUGCCUUUAGGUUCGGAAUAACUCAGGGAAACUUGUGCUAAUACCGAAUGUGCCCUUCGGGGGAAAGGUUUAUCGCCUUUAGAGCGGCCCGCGUCUGAUUAGCUAGUUGGUGAGGUAAUGGCUUACCAAGGCUACGAUCAGUAGCUGGUCUGAGAGGAUGACCAGCCACAUUGGGACUGAGACACGGCCCAAACUCCUACGGGAGGCAGCAGUGGGGAAUCUUGCGCAAUGGGCGAAAGCCUGACGCAGCCAUGCCGCGUGGAUGAUGAAGGUCUUAGGAUCGUAAAAUCCUUUCACCGGUGAAGAUAAUGACUGUAGCCGGAGAAGAAGCCCCGGCUAACUUCGUGCCAGCCGCCGCGGUAAAAC
rnacentral:rRNA from 1 species